rnacentral:rRNA from 1 species
AAGGACUUUUGUCAGGGAGCAAAACUUACUGGUUAAUACCCGGUGAGGCUGAGAGUACCUGAAGAAUAAGCACCGGCUAACUACGUGCCAGCAGCUGCGGUAAUACGUAGGGUGCAAGCGUUAAUCGGAAUUACUGGGCGUAAAGCGUGCGCAGGCGGACUUUUAAGCCAGAUGUGAAAGCCCCGAGCUUAACUUGGGAAUUGCGUUUGGAACUGGGAGUCUAGAGUCUGUCAGAGGGGGAUGGAAUUCCACGUGUAGCAGUGAAAUGCGUAGAGAUGUGGAGGAACACCGAUGGCGAAGGCAGUCCCCUGGGAUAAGACUGACGCUCAUGCACGAAAGCGUGGGGAGCAAACAGGAUUAGAUACCCUGGUAGUCCACGCCCUAAACGAUGUCUACUAGUUGUUGGGGUAGCAAUACCUCAGUGACGCAGCUAACGCGUGAAGUAGACCGCCUGGGGAGUACGGUCGCAAGAUU